AUCAUUGAAGACAUAGCUAAAGUGUCGAUGCCCGCAUAUGAGUCCACGGAGAAUGGCCUACCUCGUUUUUAUCCCAGCGUCCCAAAAUAACAUAACGGGUCAGUCAAAAUGAUACCUAUCAAUAAUCUUACUAGCACUUCACUUGAUAAUGAUACUUAGUAUCAUGGUUGAAAAUAAUAUUUCUGUUUGUACAUGUAGCUGUGAUUGUGGUGUAUACGUGAUCAAGUUCAUGCAGUUUUGGAGUUUAGAGAAACCCUUGCAGCUUUGGGACAAGGACGUUCUACAGGAGUUCUAGAAGGAAAUUAUACUAGAUAUAGUGAUGGGUCCCCAUAAUUCACAAAUUGGGAAGGCACUGCAUGCAUUAGACAGUGAUCCUGUGCGCCGCAACCAGCCAAGGAAAAAGAUUAAGGCUUUGAAAUCACCCUUCACAGCAUCGAGCACGAAGAGCAUGCUGCAGCGUGCGGGGUUACUCACUAGAAAGCCAAGCAAAUGGGGGAGACAACGGAAGAAGAUAGAUGCCUAGGUUUAUGAUUUCAUGUUGAUGAUUUUGUUAAGUUGCUGGUGACUUUAUCCAAAACCUUUAAGUGGAUGGUGCUUCUGAUAGGCAUUAGGAUGUUUCUUUUCUUUGUAAACAGGAUAGUUCUGGAUCUGUCUUCCAAGUUAUCACGUGUUAGGCAUUUGAACAUUUGUGUACUUCAUUGAGAAGUGAAUGGCUCGUGUUUUUUUAGAUACUCCUCAGUAGGUUUCAUGUGUUAAGUAAUUCAGGAUUGUCAAGCAAUUAGUUCUCAAAUUGUGGAUGUCUCUAGUUCAAUAAGU